CCCCACUACCCCGGUGUCCAGUGUUCACCAGUGGCAGGGAGUUGCACAGCUUCAUCUCCUCUGAGUAAAGACCUUUCUGUAGUUGUGAGCUGGUCUCCCACCUGUAUGGGGGAGACUCUCCUGGGUCUGUUCUAGCAGGUUAGGUGGAACAGCGCUUCCACAUCCAUCUUUACCCUAGCCUUCAGGAUAUUGUAACCUCCCAUCACAGACCCCCCUCCCAACGUGGAGACGAGUACCUGAUUCUGGACAGUGAAUCUGGAGGCCAGUUCCUUCCCUCUGUCAUUGCCACGACUCUUGCCCUCUGUGCCUGCCCUCCUGGAGCUGCAGGCCCUAGAACAGCACAUGGCAAUCAUGGCGUAGUUGCAUCCAGGCUUUAUGGCUUUGGGAUAAUGAUGUCUUUUUAUUUCUUUUUCUCAGUAUGUCUCUCUGAUGACAGAAAGGACUUACUUGUGUUAUCAGUUGUGCAACACUCGGGUUCUGCUCUCUCUUUUACGCUCUGCAGGACUCCUUGCAGUUCCACUCUCCUUUGUACCCUUGACUCUCGCCAGCUCUCCUAAUACUGUCUUGGAAGACAUCAAAUAGCUGUGAUUACUGAGGGGAAGUGCUGUGACCUGUGGCAUCUCCAGAAGCCACGUGUGCAUGAAGAGGCUUUGGGAAGCGUGUGGCAGAAGCCUCAGAAACGUGAGUGGCGUUUGGUGAACGCGCUCUGGUAGCAAGGAGCUCUGUGGGGUGAAGCCCUGUGAUCCUGGUGGCUGGGGCUCUGGGGAGCGCCAGUGCCAGGAUGUCCCUGGGGAAGGAAAGCAGCAAAAGGCAGCAGUGCUGACACCGAUGGGAGGAUCCCUCCUCAAAGAGGAAGGGUCUUGUGUUCAAAGUGAUUUCCCGUCGAGAUGUUUCCUUCUUCUUCUUGCUCCUCUUGUAACCAUCAGAUACAGUUUUAGUGCCUGGAGGCAGCAAGUGGGGCUGAGGUCUGAGUUGUGCCUGGGCACUGGAUGCUAGCAUGGCCCUGCAGUUGCCGGCUCUGACCUUCUUCCUGGUCCUCAUCCCUCUGCUGGGAAUACAGACACAGGAAGAUACUGGUCCCAAGACCAAAGGAUUAUUCUGGGAAACAGGAUGCCCGAAGCCGGAGUGGGACUCAAGCCUCCGCUUUGUCCCAGAGAAGACAUCUUAUGAUGACGGGGAGGAGCUGACACUGAGCUGCCUCACUGAGGAUGAUCCUCCUCUCGCUGUGAUCAGAUGUGUUGCAUGGUUCGGCUGGGGACAUGCCUGGGAGGUGAAGGACAAGCAGGGAAGGUGGCAUCGCAUUGAAAUGUACCAGGCCUGCACAGGAACAUGCCAGAAACCCCAGUGGGACAAAAGGAUCCUGCUUGUCCCAAGGAAAGACAACUACACACCAAAUGAGGAACUGAGGCUGUUUUGCCCUGGAAUAGUCAAGCCCUCCUUCACCCACGCCAAAUGCGUGAGGGAAUUUCAAGGAGUGACUUCAGGAAGACCUGACUAUGGGGACAGCUGGUGGGGGAGGAGAGGCAGAGGCUGGACCCGCAUUGAGGAGCCCAUAGCGUGCGUGGUAAAAUGCACGAGGCCCCAAUGGGACGCUGACAUUCGUCUGGCACCAGAGCGCAACGUCUAUAAGGAGGGUGAAGAAGUGAGGCUGAGCUGCCCGGAGGGUUUCCAGCCCCCCUUCCAGCAGGCUAAAUGUACACAUCUAGAUGUGUAUCCCGGAGGGUUUCCAGCCCCCCUUCCAGCAGGCUAAAUG
ensembl:lncRNA